AACUCAGAAUACGGCAGCCAAGAUCAGCUCAUAUGGCCCAGCCCGUAAGCAAGAACAUUCCCUGUGCCUCAUCGAAGUUGCAUUCAGAAGCUAAAAGGGAAGAGAAAACAUCAUGACUUUACAGUUUAGUAUCUGGCUUCCAAUAUCUAAGCUCUUUGGAAAUCUGAGAUUCAGCUCUUAGAAGGUGCCUUAACGGGGCUGAAAGUUUCCUCUUCUAAAAUUAACAAGAAAAGGAGAUUGCUGAGCCCAGCCUGUGUUAGUCCCAAAGUAAAUUCAGCAUUGAUUAGGGAUGAAACUCUAUUGUGGAGAGCUUUCUAGCCUUAUUUUCAGGGAAAACUAGAGAAGCGAACAUCCUGACUUGCGCCUGGCAACCACUAGCUCAUACAUGUUGCAGUGGUAGGCAAAGUCGUGCAAGGUCUCGACAGCUGUGGGUAUGGCUUGCUGAUCAAGUCAUUUUGGUUUAAGUAAGGAUGACAGAGGAGGCGCCUGUUGUGUAGAGAGAUUUCCAAGGCAAAGGCUCUGUCGAUUUCUGUUUUCUUCAAAGACUCACUUUGCUCCUUUUCCACCUCCUGGAAAAAGAAAGUUGAUCCCUUUGGUGACUGUCCAGUGCUGAAGGAACUCUUUUUCCUUCUCAGUUGUGGGUAACAGUAAAUGAAUGCUAAGCUCUGAAGGGAGACAAGUUCCCUUUCCUUAACCAUUUUGAUAGCAUCGUGGCCUGCGGCGUAUGAGAAAUCAUUACUGUGAAGGAAUCCUUGCCAAGACUUGGAGAGUGUCUGACCCGCAGAGAAAUCUCAUGGAGGAUCCAAAGCAGUGACUGGCAAUCGUGAGAGCUGCAUAGAGAAGGGUGGCAGCAAGAAGAUGGCUGUAAGCAUCGGGAGGAUUUUUUUUAUUACAGUAAGCAGAGAGUUUACAACUGGUUUCCUGUCUGAAUGGGUUUCCCUUGAGCAAUCCCCAUACCCGUACAAUCCUCAACCAGAAAAACAACUCACAGCAAGUCUGUCAAGAGCACUGGCACAGAUGCCUGAAACAUCUCUCUUCCAGACAGGAGAGGACAGACUCUGCAGAGCUACAGGAGUCGCUGCAUGUUUCAGCACAGAAGGUUGGUGCCAAGAGUUGCUGCUGCUGUUGUACAUUAUUCAGGACCUAGUUGUGUCGGCGGGAGAGGAGAUCCCAUCCCCCUGCCCCUCUGCACUGCUUUGGCACCGCAAACCGCCGCCUGAGGCAAACCCAGAACGUCCUU